CAGUAGCCGCGGUAAUACGAAGGGUGCAAGCGUUAAUCGGAAUUACUGGGCGUAAAGCGUGCGUAGGCGGUUUGUUAAGUCUGUUGUGAAAUCCCCGGGCUCAACCUGGGAAUGGCAAUGGAUACUGGCAAGCUAGAGUGUGUCAGAGGAUGGUGGAAUUCCCGGUGUAGCGGUGAAAUGCGUAGAGAUCGGGAGGAACAUCAGUGGCGAAGGCGGCCAUCUGGGACAACACUGACGCUGAGGCACGAAAGCGUGGGGAGCAAACAGGAUUAGAUACCCCCGUAGUCCCUGUCUCUUAUAA
rnacentral:rRNA from 1 species